UUUUUAGGGAGGGUAAUUGAAAUGUGUUUAAACGUAUUGCUACUAUCAUUACAUUGUGCAGGAACCUUUCUUUGGUGCUUCUAAUGGAUACAAUGUAUUAAAAAUCUGUCUUUAAAACCCUAACUUCCGGUAAUAUUCAAAAUGGCGGACAUAGAAAUAUCAAUUCAUUAUUUAAAUAUUCAACUUUUUUUCAAAAUGUAAAGAAAAUGUUGUUUUUUAUGCUGGUCAUUAAUAUUUUGGCUUUAAGUUAUC
rnacentral:lncRNA from 1 species